rnacentral:lncRNA from 1 species
UGUGAUAUGUUGUCUUGACAUUCCAUGUUCGGGGGAUAGCAAUGGUUUGGGAUACCCAUGUCUAUUGUUUCGUGUUUAGGGACAUAGAAAACUAAUGAUAAAUAUGUGUGCCUACACAUAACGUGUAGUAACUGAUCAGUCUUCUAUAAUAGUGAUGACGUGUAACUCAUUGUACAAUGUAGAAUUUGUGAAUUCGUCUUAUGAUUCACAUUCAGCUUUCGGA